rnacentral:rRNA from 1 species
GGAUUAGGCAUGCAAGUCGCACGAGAAAGGUUUCUUCGGAAGCCGAGUACAGUGGCGAACGGGUGAGUAAUGCAUAGACAACUCGCCCUUGAGAUGGGGACAACGCCUCGAAAGGGGUGCUAAUACCCAAUGCCGCCUUGGGCCCGCGGGUCCAGGGUGAAAGGAGGCCUCUGAUUCAAGCUUCCGCUCAAGGAGAGGUUUAUGUCCUAUUAGCUAGUUGGCGGGGUAACGGCCCACCAAGGCUGCGAUGGGUAGCCGACCUGAGAGGGUGACCGGCCACAUUGGGACUGAGACACUGCCCAGACUCCUACGGGAGGCUGCAGUCGAGAAUCUUCCGCAAUGCGCGCAAGCGUGACGGAGCGACGCCGCGUGGGUGAUGAAGGCCUUCGGGUUGUAAAACCCUGUCAGCUACUACGAAACACGGGCGAUGAACAAUCGUCCCGUCUGACUUAAGUAGCAGAGGAAGCACCGGCUAACUACGUGCCAGCAGCCGCGGUAAUACGUAGGGUGCAAACGUUGUUCGGAAUCACUGGGCAUAAAGGGCGCGUAGGCGGUCUGAUAAGUCAGGUGUGAAAUCCCUCGGCCUAACCGAGGAACUGCAUUUGAUACUGUCGGGCUAGAGUACAGGAGGGGAGAGUGGAAUUCCUGGUGGAGCGGUGAAAUGCGUAGAUAUCAGAGGAACGCCGGCGGCGAAAGCGACUCUCUGGCCGGUUACUGACGCUGAGGCGCGAAAGCUAGGGGAGCAAACGGGAUUAGAUACCCCGGUAGUCCUAGCCCUAAACGAUGGGCACUAAGUAGAGGGGUUUU